AGCCUUGCUCCACCGGAAAAAGAGGAGUUGGCGAACGGGUGAGUAACACGUGGGUAACCUGCCCAUCAGAAGGGGAUAACACUUGGAAACAGGUGCUAAUACCGUAUAACAAUCGAAACCGCAUGGUUUUGAUUUGAAAGGCGCUUUCGGGUGUCGCUGAUGGAUGGACCCGCGGUGCAUUAGCUAGUUGGUGAGGUAACGGCUCACCAAGGCGACGAUGCAUAGCCGACCUGAGAGGGUGAUCGGCCACAUUGGGACUGAGACACGGUCCAAACUCCUACGGGAGGCAGCAAUAGGGAAUCUUCGGCAAUGGACGAAAGUCUGACCGACAACGCCGCGUGAG
rnacentral:rRNA from 1 species